rnacentral:rRNA from 4 species
AAAUUGAAGAGUUUGAUCAUGGCUCAGAUUGAACGCUGGCGGCAGGCCUAACACAUGCAAGUCGAACGGUAGCACAGAGAGCUUGCUCUCGGGUGACGAGUGGCGGACGGGUGAGUAAUGUCUGGGA